AACAAUACGUACAUACCAUUAUAUGCACUGCGUUCUUAUUAUUUAUUUGAAUAGGCCACCUAGACUCGCUCGCGUCUCACUCUGCGCAAGGCAGGGUACCGGGUAUUUGUAAAAAUCAAUAAGUUCGCGGCACCCUUUCCUGCUGUAUGUUGGCAGUUACUUUACGGGGGAGCUUCAGAGCCCACAGAGUUAGAAACAGAUUAUAAAUUGUGCAGAAUGUGUUAGAAUACAUAGUUAACUUUUUUAGAAAUCAUUCUUAUGUUAGGGUCUAACCUUUUAUUUCAUUCUAUUAUAUUCCGUUUUCUGAGUUAUUUAAUUAUUUCUUCUCAAUAUACGCUUGUAAAGUGACGCCAUUUUAUUCUAAAAAAGGAAUCGUUGUCUAUGAUCAGGUGCAAUACUGCACUUUAAUAGAAAAACAAAGUUUGGCUUCAGAAACGUUGAUCCCAGUGGAUGGAAUGGAUCUUGAUCAUAUAUUGAAUUGGCCGUCAACUCCUGAGGAAGAAAACUUCCUAAAUGCGAUCCUCGAGUCGUUGGUUAAAUUCGACGAAGAUGGGGGUCGUUUCCAUGAUGCCGAGGCGGUUGUAAUGGUUAUGCAUCGCAUCUGGGCUUGACAAGGAAUGAUAACGGGUCCAAUGAACUCUAACAACGCAGGCAGCAACAACAAUAACAGCAGCAACAGCAGCGGCAGCAGCACCCGCAACACGGAUAAUAGUGCCCCGGACUCGUCCAAUGAACCUUCCACGUCCAAAGGACCUUCCGCGUACUAUGGACCUUCCACGUACUAUGGACCUUCCACGUCCAAGGGACCUUCCACGUCCAAGGAACCUUCCACGUCCAAGGAGCCUUCCACAUCCAAGGAACCUUCCACGUCCAAGGAACCUUCUACGUCCAAGGAACCUUCCACGUCUAAGGAACCUUCCACGUCCAAUGGGGCCUCUUCUACGGCAAAAUAAUACCUAAAGGAUUCUGUUUAGAUAUGCUUGUACUCUUCUUCGCUUAGUCCGCUCUAUUAGAAAUCUGUCACUGAAUUGAACUAGAUUCAAAAUAUAAAAUUAAAUGUGAAAAA